AGCACCGGCUUAAUCUCCUGUCCCCAGCAGCCGCGGUAAUACAGGAUGGCGCGAGCUGUUCAUCAGAAUUUACUGGGGCAUAAAAGCGCACGCAGCGGUGGUUUUGUUAGUGUCAGAUGUGAAAGCCCCGGGGCUCAACCUCAGGAGUCGCAUUUGAAAACUGGGCAGACUAGAGUACAGUAGAGGGAGGGUAGAAUUCUCAUGUGUAGCUGUAAAGUGCGUAGAGAUCUGAGGGCAUACCGGUGGAGAGGGCGUCUCCCGGGACAGAUAGUGACAGUGAGAUGAGAGAGCGUGGGGAGCACACAGGAUUAGAUACCGUUGUUGUACACGCUGUAAACGAAGUCUACUUGGAGAUUGUGUCCCUGAGCCGUGGCUUUCGGAGCUAACGCGUUAAGUAGACCGCCUGGGGAGUACGGUCGCAAAGAUUAAAACUCAAAUGAAUUGACGGGGGGCCCGCACAAGCGGUGGAGCAUGUGGUUUAUUUCGAUGCAACGCGAAGAACCUUACCUACUCUUGACAUCCAGAGAACUUUCCAGAGAUGGAUUGGUGCCUUCGGGAACUCUGAGACAGGUGCUGCAUGGCUUCGUCAGCUCGUGUUGUGAAAUGUUGGGUUAAGUCCCGCAACGAGCGCAACCCUUAUCCUUGUUUGCCAGCGAGUAAUGUCGGGAACUCCAGGGAGACUGCCGGUGAUAAACCGGAGGAAGGUGGGGACGACGUCAAGUCAUCAUGGCCCUUACGAGUAGGGCUACACACGUGCUACAAUGGCGCAUACAGAGGGCAGCCAACUUGCGAAAGUGAGCAAAUCCCAAAAAAUGCGUCGUAGUCCGGAUUGGAGUCUGCAACUCGACUCCAUGAAGUCGGAAUCGCUAGUAAUCGGGAUCAGAAUGCCACGGUGAAUACGUUCCCGGUCCUUGUACACCCCCCCCGCCCCCCCAUGGGAGUGGGCUCACAAAGAAGUAGGUAGUUAACCUUCGGGCCACGCGCAGCACUUGAUCCCCGG
rnacentral:rRNA from 1 species